UACGGAGGGGGCUAGCGUUGUUCGGAAUUACUGGGCGUAAAGCGCACGUAGGCGGCUUUGUAAGUUAGAGGUGAAAGCCCGGGGCUCAACUCCGGAAUUGCCUUUAAGACUGCAUCGCUAGAAUUGUGGAGAGGUAAGUGGAAUUCCGAGUGUAGAGGUGAAAUUCGUAGAUAUUCGGAAGAACACCAGUGGCGAAGGCGGUUCUCUGGGCCUGUACUGGACGCUGAGGAGCGAAAGCAUGGGGAGCGAACAGG
rnacentral:rRNA from 1 species